UUUCUAUAAAUACGUGCGCGCAGAGAACCGACGUUUUAUUAUAGUUUUCAUCAACAGAUUAGCCCCUUUGGAACCAUCGAUACUCGAGAAUCGAGAUUCACAGACAGUUUAUGGCCCUCAUAAAAGAAUCUAUUUGGUGUUUUCCGACUUUGGCCGACGGAGCCUGAAGCAAGUCGAACAAAGAGUUGUAUCCUCUGUAGCCAGGAAUUUUGACGACGGCUAGGAACAAUGUAAGACUGGUCCGUUUCCAGAGUCGUAUCUGUCAUUCGAUGUACACGUGGGCUAGCUCAAAACAGGGAAAUCGAGUUCUAGGAUUGGGGCUGUUUAAUGCGUGCUGUGAACUAUAUGAAGAACAUCAUUGUGUUAACGCACACAUUGUUAUACAACGUCGCCAAACUUUUUUAUUAUAUUUAACCGUAAGUCAAUUAUUGAUCGUAAUCGCCAUUGUAUGUGUUAUCGUCAUCAUCGUCUCGACACCAUUUAUUGGUUCAAUAUCUAAUUUUGACUGUUAUCUUAGUCCAAAAUAUAUCAUAAAAAAUCUUGAAAAACGGAAGGAAUGUGGUAAAACGACAUGUGUCAACGGAAAAAAUACAAUUGAUUCAAGGUUGAAAAAAACGGCCUAUUUCAUUACAAAGAGAUACAAACAAAACCUUAUUGAAAUGUAAAAAGUGCAAGAAAUAACUAUUAUUUUUCUUGAUUUAUUUUUAUUGAGCCAAAGACUCAAUUCUUUACACAUUUAUGGCGCAUGCAAAAGGAAAAAGUGACAUAAGACAUAGGUACAUACCCGAUUCAAUUUUCUAAUAUUUCUAAUAUUACUCUCAGUUCACGUUUCGUCGGAUCAGUUUUUUGAACCACGUUCUUGAAUUUUUUUUCACAUCUCAAAUGCAUUUCAAUUUUUUCUACUUUCAAGUAUCAAAAAAUUACUGAUAAUAUAAUUAUCGUACAUAAUAUAUUAGAAAUUUUUAAAAUUUACUCUUCGUCAUUUUACAAGUUAAUUAAAAAUCAAGUUUAAAUUGCAUUGAUAGAAAUAUAAAUAGUUUCCAAAGAAAAUAAUUUAUUUAUUUGGUUACUUUGCUUAAAAUAUUAAAUUUGAUAUUAAAUUGAAAGUAGAAAAGAACUAAUGUAAUUUUGAUAAGCUUGGCUCUAUAUACUAUAUAUGGGAUGGAAAAAUCGACGUCAAUCGUUGCAAUGUACACAGAAUUAAAAGUUAUAUUUAUUAAGAUAACGAUAAUGAAUCGUUAGUUGCUUUCUGUUAUGUGUAGAUAUUUACGAAUAGAUUUAGGAAUAUACGGAUGGGAAAAAAUGGAGUUUGUAUAUGGACGUUAUUGUAACGUAUUUAAGAUAUUUAUUUCUUUCUAAGGCACAUUUUUAUAUUAAUCUUAUAUUUAUAUUUUCUAUUAUACUCAGAUAUUGUAAAUAUUAAUAACUUAUUAGUUCAGAUAAGUGUAGAUGCAGAUGAAUAUAAUAACUUAUAUGGAAUUUUAAAAAUAUAGCAAAAUAAGACACACGUAAUCUUGUCUGCCUUGUCGUUGCAUAAGGAAAUAAAAAGGUAGAUAAAAAAUAAAGAGAAAGAUUGUGCGGCAAAUUAAAUGGGGAUAAUGUCGAGAUCAAAAAUCAAUCGUAGUACACAUUUUGAAUGUUAAUGGAAUGCAUAAAACAAACAAAAUAAAACAACAAAAUAAAAGAGUGCAUAUAA